rnacentral:rRNA from 1 species
UCGGGAAUUUUGCUCAAUGGGCGAAAGCCUGAAGCAGCAACGCCGCGUGAGGGAUGAAGGCCUUCGGGUUGUAAACCUCUUUUCCCAGGGACGAUAAUGACGGUACCUGGGGAAUAAGCCACGGCUAACUACGUGCCAGCAGCCGCGGUAAUACGUAGGUGGCAAGCGUUGUCCGGAUUUACUGGGCGUAAAGAGCGCGCAGGCGGCCGAGUCAGUCGAAUGUGAAAGCCCCCGGCUCAACUGGGGAGGGUCAUUCGAUACUGCUCGGCUUGAAGAUGGGAGAGGGAAGCGGAAUUCCCGGUGUAGUGGUGAAAUGCGUAGAUAUCGGGAGGAACACCAGUGGCGAAGGCGGCUUCCUGGCCUGUUCUUGACGCUGAGGCGCGAAAGCUAGGGGAGCAAACGGG